UCGGAUUGUAGUCUGCAACCCGACUACAUGAAGCUGGAAUCGCUAGUAAUCGCGGAUCAGAAUGCCGCGGUGAAUACGUUCCCGGGUCUUGUACACACCGCCCGUCACACCAUGGGAGUCGGGAAUGCCCGAAGUCAGUGGCCCAACCGAAAGGGGGGGAGCUGCCGAAGGCAGGCCUGGUGACUGGGGUGAAGUCGUAACAAGGUACC
rnacentral:rRNA from 1 species